rnacentral:rRNA from 1 species
UACGUAGGGUGCGAGCGUUGUCCGGAAUUAUUGGGCGUAAAGGGCUCGUAGGCGGUUUGUCGCGUCGGGAGUGAAAUCCACUGGCUUAACUGGUGGCUUGCUUUCGAUACGGGCAGACUGGAGGUAUGCAGGGGGAGAACGGAAUUCCUGGUGUAGCGGUGAAAUGCGCAGAUAUCAGGAGGAACACCGGUGGCGAAGGCGGGUUGCUGGGCUGACACGUGACGCUGAUGCGCGAAAGCCAGGGGAGCGAACGGG